GACGAACGCUGGCGGCGUGCUUAACACAUGCAAGUCACGGGGGUCCCGCAAGGGAUAACCGGCGAACGGGUGCGUAACACGUGAACAACCUGCCCUCGUGUGGGGGAUAGCCAUGCUAACGCGUGGGUAAUACCGCAUACGUUCUCUUUGGGGGAGUCCCGAGGAGAGGAAAGCUCCGGCGCGACGGGGGUAGGGGUUCGCGGCCUAUCAGCUAGUUGGGCGGGGUAAUCGGCCCACCAAGGCGACGACGGGUAGCNGGUCUGAGAGGAUGGCCAGCCACAGUUGGGACUGAGA
rnacentral:rRNA from 1 species